rnacentral:lncRNA from 10 species
CGAACACUCGCUCAGAUUGUUGCCCUGCGCUCGUGUGAAUGUACGGAUCCGGGAGGAAUUGGGACCUAAACAGACAAGCCCUCGAGGCGGUCCCGGCAGCCCUGAGGAGGGAGCCUUCACCUCUUCCUACCCACCCAGUUUACUUCUUGUGGAGGAUAUUUGCAGGGACAUAGCCCACUGGGAGAACUAGCAGAUACGGCUUUACAAGUUUUUUAUUGCCUUUCAGCCCCCAUUCCGCUCCCCUUCCUUGCGCUGCGUCGGGAAAGGGAAUGGGAUCCCUAGGGGUGCAAAUACAGGCCAAGUCAGGGAGAGCUGUGGCUCCUGAGGGCCUCCUCUGGCUCCUCCGGGAAGUUUUGGGCCCUCAAGGAGCAGCUUCGCGGGCCAGGAGGGCGGUUAGCUGCCCUUGGCAUCUUUUUGGGGAAAUCAGUUGGCCUGUCGCGGGUCGAACUCUGUCCCCCUUGACUGCCUGCCAUCUUCUGGAGAAACCCCUAAUAGGCUGCUGUGUCUGGUUAUGCUUUAGUGAGAAAAUUAGGCUUUUUAAGCUUUCUCAUUUCCUACCCUACCACGUUGUAAUUCACAAAAGUAAAAAGUAAAUCACUACAUGAUA